rnacentral:rRNA from 1 species
GACGAACGCUGGCGGCGUGCCUAAUACAUGCAAGUUGAGCGAUGAAGAUUGGUGCUUGCACCAAUUUGAAGAGCAGCGAACGGGUGAGUAACGCGUGGGGAAUCUGCCUUUGAGCGGGGGACAACAUUUGGAAACGAAUGCUAAUACCGCAUAAUAACUUUAAACAUAAGUUUUAAGUUUGAAAGAUGCAAUUGCAUCACUCAAAGAUGAUCCCGCGUUGUAUUAGCUAGUUGGUGAGGUAAAGGCUCACCAAGGCGAUGAUACAUAGCCGACCUGAGAGGGUGAUCGGCCACAUUGGGACUGAGACACGGCCCAAACUCCUACGGGAGGCAGCAGUAGGGAAUCUUCGGCAAUGGACGAAAGUCUGACCGAGCAACGCCGCGUGAGUGAAGAAGGUUGUCGGAUCGUAAAACUCUGUUGGUAGAGAAGAACGUUGGUGAGAGUGGAAAGCUCAUCAAGUGACGGUAACUACCCAGAAAGGGACGGCUAACUACGUG